GGGGCUGAUUCUGGAUUCGACGGGAUUUGCGAAACCCAAGGUGCAUGCCGAGGGGCGGUUUGCCUCGUUAAAAGCCGCAAAAAAAUAGUCGCAAACGACGAAAACUACGCUUUAGCAGCUUAAUAACCUGCUAAGAGCCCUCUCUCCCUAGCUUCCGCUCUUAAGACGGGGAUCAAAGAGAGGUCAAACCCAAAAGA
rnacentral:tmRNA from 1 species